UUAGUUUCACAAACCUAAAAAUCCUAGCAAGCCGCCACUGUCGCCUCCAUUUUUUCGACCAACCUCCACCGCGCACGUCGUCCGCCUCCGUCCAAUAGCUGAUCGCAGUCGCUUCCACUGUUACUCCAUCGCAACCCGUCGACUGUCAAGCCGAUCUAUCGUUCCCGAGCUUUUCAGUCGCAGAUCCGAGGUGAGUGUCAUUGCCGUCUGUAAGUUGCCUUUGUCUACUAUUUCGUGUGUCGCCGUCGAAGCCCAGCUGGCUGCCGUUAGCGUUUCGUCAGCCACCGCAAGUUGUUCCGUCAAGUUGAACGUCAUCGAGUAGCCAGCUGUCUUUGUUAUUCGUCGCGUGUGGCAUUGUCGGAGUUCCACCCAGCCAUGUUGGAGAUUGCCACGAACCUGAGCCGCUGGCUGCGUCGUGUGUUCGUUGGAAGCCGAUCCAUCCUUAGUCGCAUCCCCGUAAGUCGUACCCGAGCCGCACGUACACUCCAGUCGAGUCGCGUCGAGCCAUCUUCCAGCUGCCAAGUCGAUUCUCACCCGAGCCACCCCUUUCCUUGCAUCGACCCGUUUUUCCUACCGAGUCGAGCCACUUGUUUUCCUUUAGUCGAGCCACCUAGCCAAUUUUUCCCUAGCGAAGCCAUAUUGAGCCACCAAGUUAUUUUUGGCUUUUUACCUAUUUUUGAUUUAACUGGAAACGGAGUUGGGAAUUUGUCCACUAAGUGUAAAUCGAAUUCGACGUCGACUUUGGGAUUUUCCCUUGGGAAGCUUGACCGUGACUGUUAGGAUAAUUUUGGGUUAAGCAAAUCUCCAGGCAGAGGUAGAGGUAAGGGCAGAGGAAGCUGGAGAAUGACAAGAAGUGACCGUGGCGAGCCAUAAGGAUCAUUUUUACUUCCGCCUUAUGUCAUUGAUCAGAUGCACUUUCUAUUUUAUUUUACUUCAUUUUAAAAAACUAGAUAGGGCCCGAAUUAGGAUUUUAUUUAAU